rnacentral:rRNA from 1 species
GCCAGUAGUCAUAUGCUUGUCUCAAAGAUUAAGCCAUGCAUGUCUCAGUACAAGCCGUCCUGUACGGUGAAACCGCGAAAGGCUCAUUAAAUCAGUUAUGGUUCCUUAGAUAGUACCCACGUUACUUGGAUAACUGUGGUAAUUCUAGAGCUAAUACAUGCCGACAGAGUUCCGACCAGCGUCGCGGCGGUUCGCCGUUCACGACGUUCGGAAGGAGCGCUUUUAUUAGAUCAAAAUCGGCCAAGCGCAACGUUCGCGUAGCGUUAGCGGCCCGCGCAAAGACUUGACGACUCUGAAUAACUUCGAGCUGAUCGCACGGUCCUGCACCGGCGACGUAUCUUUCAAAUGUCUGCCUUAUCAACUGUCGACGGUACGUUCGAUGCUUACCGUGGUGGUAACGGGUAACGGGGAAUCAGGGUUCGAUUCCGGAGAGGGAGCCUGAGAAACGGCUACCACAUCCAAGGAAGGCAGCAGGCGCGCAAAUUACCCACUCCCAGCUCGGGGAGGUAGUGACGAAAAAUAACGAUACGGGACUCAUCCGAGGCCCCGUAAUCGGAAUGAGUACACUUUAAAACCUUGGUCACACGAGGAUCAAUUGGAGGGCAAGUCUG